rnacentral:rRNA from 1 species
AGCAGCCGCGGUAAUUCCAGCUCCAAUAGCGUAUAUUAAAGUUGUUGCAGUUAAAAAGCUCGUAGUUGAAUUUCGGGGUUAGUAAGUUGGUCAUGCCUUCGGUAUGUACUGGCUUUACUGAUUCCUCCUUCUUGACGAACCGUGAUGUCAUUAAUUUGGUGUUGCGGGAAAUCAGGACUGUUACUUUGAAAAAAUUAGAGUGUUUAAAGCAAGCUAACGCUUGAAUACAUUAGCAUGGAAUAAUGAAAUAGGACGUUCGAUCCUAUUUUGUUGGUUUCUAGGAUUGACGUAAUGAUUAAUAGGGAUAGUUGGGGGCAUUAGUAUUCAAUUGUCAGAGGUGAAAUUCUUGGAUUUAUUGAAGACUGACUACUGCGAAAGCAUUUGCCAAGGAUGUUUUCAUUAAUCAAGAACGAAAGUUAGGGGAUCGAAGACGAUCAGAUACCGUCGUAGUCUUAACCAUAAACUAUGCCGACUAGGGAUCGGAUGAUGUUAAUUUUUUAAUGACUCA